rnacentral:rRNA from 1 species
GGCCAGACUCCUACGGGAGGCAGCAGUGGGGGAUAUUGCACAAUGGGGGGAACCCUGAUGCAGCGACGCCGCGUGGGUGAAGGAGCGUUUCGGCGCGUAAAGCCCUAUCGGCAGGGAAGAGGGAGGACGGUACCUGACUAAGAAGCCCCGGCUAACUACGUGCCAGCAGCCGCGGUAAUACGUAGGGGGCAAGCGUUAUCCGGAUUUACUGGGUGUAAAGGGCGUGUAGGCGGGACUGCAAGUCAGAUGUGAAAAUUAUGGGCUCAACCCAUAACCUGCAUUUGAAACUGUGUUUCUUGAGUACUGGAGAGGCAGACGGAAUUCCUAGUGUAGCGGUGAAAUGCGUAGAUAUUAGGAGGAACACCAGUGGCGAAGGCGGUCUGCUGGACAGCAACUGACGCUGAGGCGCGAAAGCGUGGGGAGCAAACAGGAUUAGAUACCCCAGUA